rnacentral:rRNA from 1 species
GACGAACCGUCCGAACGUUAUUCGGAAUCACUGGGCUUAAAGGGUGCGUAGGCGGCGCAGUAAGUAGGGUGUGAAAUCCCUCGGCUUAACCGAGGAACUGCGCCCUAAACUACUGUGCUCGAGGGAGAUAGAGGUGAGCGGAACUUAGGGUGGAGCGGUGAAAUGCGCAGAUAUCAGGAAGAACACCUAUGGCGAAGGCAGCACUCUGGGACGGUACUGACGCUGAGACGCGAAAGCGUGGGGAGCGAACAGG